rnacentral:rRNA from 1 species
CCUUUUGAAAUAUUAAUAUAAAAGGUCCUGCCUGCCCAAUGACUUGCUUUAAUGGCCGCGGUAUUAUGACCGUGCAAAGGUAGCGUAAUCAUUUGUCUUCUAAAUAAAGACCAGUAUGAAUGGCAAGACGAAAGCCUCACUGUCUCCCUAGCCCAGUCAAUGAAAUUGAUCUCCCCGUGCAGAAGCAGGGAUAAUAGUAUAAGACGAGAAGACCCUGCGGAGCUUUAAACUUUAACUAACAACCACAAAUGUUUUAGUAAUCAGUUUUAGGUUGGGGCGACCAUGAGGUAUAACUAAACCCUCACGAUAAUAACCAAGAAGAACACUUCAAAUAACUAAUAUUAGUAUAUUGACCCAAUAAUUGAUCAACGAACCAAGUUACCCCAGGGAUAACAG